CAUCGGGUCUUGCAUCUACAAAUGAAACGGUAAUUCAAAUCUUAUUCAUAUUGCCAAAAAUGCUUGAUAUCAACUGAUAGAAGCUUCUCUUGCUAGGGAUUUAAACAUGUCAUUGAACAGUGAGGCUUAGAUUUGAAUAGCCAAAACAAUAUUACUUUUGAGUGGUAUUUUGUUUAAUUUUGGUAAAGUUAGACGUAGGCUACUUCUGAAUUUGAGAAACAACACUAAAAAUUUACUUUAACCAAACCAUAGGAUUAUUUGAACAUCGACUAUCCAAGAUGGUUUUGGUGAGUUUUAUUUUGUUUGUGUCGACUUUUAAUGAAAAGUUAAAAGUUUGGUUAAAGUUGAAUAGUCAAGGCUUUGCAUUUUUCUUUUUAAACGCCAAAUUGGUGUGAAAAUAUUGUCUUUCUGGACUCUUUGUGAAUGCAAUGUGUGUACUAGUUUGUGGGAGUACUACUACAUAUGUAAAAAGAGAGGUGUAAAUAUUUUUUUGGCUCAAAGGAAGCUGCAUGUAAGCUACGUGUGACAACAUGGAGUUAAAAAGAUAAAUUGUUACCCUUUAAAUUUUGAAUGUCAAAUCUAUUUAGAAGUUUGAUUGUAGGUACCUCGUUCACGUCUUGGUUACAUUCCACCUAGUGUUUACUAAUUAUUGUCCUUUUUAUAAAUUUUCUUCUUAAAAAUCUUAUUAUGGUAAGGAUAAUGUAUUUGUUCCCUUCAGGUAUCUGCCACUGCGGCUGACGUUGAGACAACUCUCAGUCUUCCUGCAAGUCCUCGCCUGAUACCUGUUUCAAGUGCAACAAGGCAAGUCACAAUUAAGGGUUGGAUGAUCACCUUUAAGGGCUCUGAGGGCAUCACACCAACAUUUGAAAUUGGACUUGCUGCUAUGUUUGCAACCUACUACAUUUUCAGCCUUCAGUAUCAAGAUGAGACAGCCUGCCCUCUGGAAUUCAUUCAGAGGCACUUCAUUGAUAUAAAUCAAGAGAGAGGGACAAAUGCCAAAAUCAUCAGACAAGAUUGUCUCUAAGAAGAAAGGUGUGAUCGUCCAGAAGUCGUCUUCUGCAGUUAAAUACACACGUGGCCAUGCUACUGAAGGAUC